UCUUGUUGUUGACAGAAGAAAUGGGACAGAUGCAGACGACCCCCUUGUCUCUCAUGACAGACCAUUUUUCUCAGACGUUAGGGAGAGAGCUCACAAUUUGAGCACGGACGUCAGGAAGGGAAAAUUUUGUGUUUUCUGCACCUCCGAGUGGCCGUCCUUUAACGUUGGCUGGCUGCCGGAGGGAACAUUUAAUCCAACCACUCUUUUACAGGUUAAAGAUAUCAGGGGAAGAGCUAACAACCUCAGUGUGGAAGUCCAGAAGGGUCGGUGGCAGACUUUUGUUCUAAAAUACCAGAAUUUCCUUAUGUCAACUGUCUUACAGUAAGCUCUCAUCAGGUCUUUAACCAUUGUCAUUUGUAAGUCUUUUGUCAUUUAUAGUCACUGUUUUAUUACUCCUAAACUAGUAAAGAACUAGAUUUCAGCAGAAUAGGUAUUGGCUAUAAGUGAACUAAGGAAGAUGGUUUUGUGACUUUUUGUUUCAGAUGUUGCUGAUAAAGUGUUUUAAGCUUUUUCUCUUAAGCUGACAACAGUUUCAUGAAUGACAAUACCUUUAUAAGCAGAAUUGAAACAUUUAUCUUUCUCUCUACCUGACCCCUCAAGAAUUUAAAAGCUUUCAGUAUUUUUAUGUUUCAUGGCAGUAUGUUUAUUUGCAUAAGUUCAAUAAGAACCUGCAUUCCUUGUAAGAGGACCAAUUAAAAACACAGGUUAUACUACCAA